UACCGAUAUUGCAGGAGUUUCCUCUUGAAAUCAGACCGUGGAGAGAGACCAGACUCUCCUUCUGACAGCAGGAAGAGUCCUUCAGGGAAACCAGACCCCGAGACGUCCAAACCAGCAGGCCGACAUCACUGCUCCCAGUGUGGAAAGAGUUUUACUCAGUUAGGGAGCCUGAGAAUACAUAAGAGAAUACACACUGGAGAGAAGCCUUACCACUGUUCCCAAUGUGGAAUGACGUUUACCCAGUUAGGGAGCCUGCAAAACCAUGAGAGGGGACACACAGGGGAAAAGCUUUUCAAUGUUCCCAUUGUGGAAAGAGUUUUGGCCAGGUAGGAAACCUGAACAAGCAUGUGAGGACACACACAGGUAAGAAGAUGUACCGCUGCUCCCAGUGUGGAGAGAGAUUUACCCGGUUAAGGUACCUGAAAGAGCAUGAACGAAUACAUACAAAUACACAGGAGGAGACAUACCACUGCUCUCAUUGUGGAAAGACAUUUUCCCAGUCAGAGAACCUGAAAACACAUGAGAGAAUCAAGAGGCUGUGUUCUGACUUGUGUUUUUGACUGAGAAUUUGUGUUUUUGUUUGGGCUGUCAGACUUCAGUUCACUUUGUGUAAUGUUAGUGCACUAUUUUUUAAUUGUGAUUAACCCAUUGUCUGAAAAGGUUAAAAACACACUGAAAACAUCCAAAAUACAUACUAUAUACCGCUAACAUCUACAAUGCCAUGUAAAAACAAGAUGACAUUGAGGUUAAAUAAAGUGUGCUUUAUCAAUGGAA